rnacentral:tRNA from 1 species
GGGCCUGUAGCUCAGCUGGGAGAGCGCCUGCAUGGCAUGCAGGAGGUCAGGAGUUCGAUCCUCCUCAGGUCCA